GAAUAGUUUCACUACCUUAAGUAAAAGAAAGAAUUAAUGUUACCGAACUUUUAGAUCUUGCAAAGAUUAAUGAAAAGUGCGAAUCACACGUAUCCUUUCCUCCUUUCUCUACCCCAUGUAUUUUACCAAUCUAACGUUUCUGUGACGUCAAAAGACGUAAUUCUUGCCUAGACGGCCGUAAUUUGGAUAUCAGAAAAGAGAAAAAAAUAGGAGACAACCAGCAUUGAGGUUUUACUUGGCCUUCAGCAUUCAGUUUUCCUCGUGUCAAGAAACGGAGGUACAGGGAAACUACAAAAAUGCUACAACAUAGCAAAAUGCAUCGGAAAGGAAAUGACAGAAAAAUCUAAAGUUCGAAAGAUAUUAUUCAAUGCAUCUCACCAAGUUUUCAAAUAGAAGAAAGAAAACUCAGAAGAAAGAUGACAUUCAUCACAACCAGCUGCCGUAUUCUCGAGAAAACUCAGGAUACCGGAACUUCUUCUUCAUAUCAUACACAGAAUUCAGACCUACUUUCUGAAGACAGAGGGUCUGGAAUUUGGCGUGGUUCCCAUGGCAAUGAGCAGAAGCAACUGGGUUUCCCCGUUUGAAAUGCAGCCAACGCUCCUUAGCUUCAAUUCAGUAACCAUCGAUUAGCUUCAAUUCAGUAACCACCAUUUUGUGACAAUGUUUUUUCCCUAUUAUGACUACACCAUGAUUCAAUAUAAUGGGAAAAAACAAACAUUGCUAUCAUGUUAUGAUAUAAUGCUUGAGAUGUUGUAAAAUUGAAGUCAUGUUAUGAUAUAAUGCUUGAGAUGUUGUAAAAUUGAAGUCAUGUUAUGAUAUAAUGCUUGAGAUGUUGUAAAAUUGAAGUCAUGUUACGUCAUUAUGUCUGAUCUAUUAUAAAAAUAAACUAGUGUAUGUUCGCAAAAGUAAA